UACGGAGGAUGCGAGCGUUAUCCGGAUUUAUUGGGUUUAAAGGGUGCGCAGGCGGACUAAUAAGUCAGUGGUGAAAUUUACAUGCUUAACAUGUAUCGUGCCAUUGAUACUGUUAGACUAGUAUACAAAUGACGUAGCUGGAAUGUGUUAUGUAGCGGUGAAAUGCAUAGAUAUAACACAGAACACCGAUCGUGAAGAGAGGUUACGAAUUUGUUAUAGACGCUCAGGCACGAAAGCGUGGGGAUCAAACAGGA
rnacentral:rRNA from 1 species